CAUGCACUUCACAAAGUUUGAUGCCAUUAAGAGCUGUCCGUAUAAGACAAUAAGGAUGACAUCAUGAUAUGAGCUUAGCUGUCUGUUUUAGAAGUAACGUCUCAGACGGCAAAACCCCGUUAGGAUGAGUAAUAUGAGGAAAAGCACAGGACUGUUUGCUAGGUACAUGCUGUUGUAUUGUUAGGAGAAAAAUAAGUACAGUGUGGGCUCUGUGUUGUCAGUGACCGAAGGUCACUUGAGUCACCAUUCCCUGAGGUUAGCAGAUGAACUUCAGAUGAGCAAAUAACACAAAUCAAUGCUUGCUUCUCUGGCAUGUUAAUCACAGAGCGAGAUUCCCUGCAGAUUUCCACCUUCUCAUUCUAUCUGCUACUGAAAAUGCUUUCUCAAGCCGUGGAUCUCAUGACCUGAAAGGUCCUUUAUGAAAUUUCUUGUUCAUAAUUCAUGCUCCUGGCUGGGUAGGACUAGGACAUUGAAUGCAGAAGCUGAAUUUAGCAGCUUGGUCACUGCAUAGUUGCUGAGUGGUGGGACUUCCAGGCAGGCAGUACACUGCAGAAGAAACCUGGGCUGAGAGUGCCAGGGUGAAUGCAGGGUUGAACAGAGAGAAUGUUUUAUCUUGCUUCUAAAAAAGUGCUCUCCAUGAGACAGGGAUCAAGGGUUCCAAAGAGAACAAAUGGGGAGAAAGAUGAUUGGCUGCCUAAAGAAAUGAUAGCAGUCAAACCAUGACAGUGUUUGGAAGACAAGGACUGUGUCACUUAUUUUUCUUAAAACUGCCCAUCUCUGCAUACGAAGGGAUCAUGCCUAACUAAGCUGGGUCUUUGGCAUAUUGGAUUUUUCCAUUGUCUUCCAAAGUGCUUGAUGUUUUUAGGAAGAGCUUGCUUGUGCUCCAGUAUGACAGAGUCCAGAACUCUUUUGCUUCCCACUAUAGAUGCCCUUGAAUUUUCACUGGAAGCGCUGAAGCUGAAGCUGAAGCUCCAGUACUUUGGCCACCUGCUGCAGAGAGCUGACUCACUGGAGAAGACCCUGAUGCUGGGCAAGAUUGAGGGUAGGAGGAGAAGAGGGUAACAGAGAAUGAGAUGGUUGGAUGGCAUCAUCAACUCAAUGAACAUGAGUUUGAGCAAGCUCCAGGACAUAGUGAAGGACGGGGAAGCCUGGCAUGCUUCAAUCUAUGGGGUUGCAAAGAGUUGGACAUGACUGAGCAACUGAACAGCCAACAACAUAGCUGCCCCAGCCCUUGCCCCAGAAAGGUGCAUAGUGCUGCCUGAUGACGGUGCCUGAAGGAGAGACAGAAGGCGUGCUACUUACUCUGCUUAUACACUUAGGAAAGCAUCACUUUCUAUCUGAGCAGUGGUUUCCACUUGACAUUAUAAUGAAAUCCCUAUAAGACUAUUCCUAGAAGAUGCUAAAGCAGGAUGAGGCAGUGACCCAAAGUGAAAGCUCAGGUUGAAAGGGGUCAGGACAGUCACCGAGAGUGCCAUUCAAGUGCCUCCAGCAGGAUAUUCUAAAAAGAGUCUCACAGCCCACCUCCAGCUGGGAAACAUUUCUAGAAAGGAGGGAAAAGUGUCCUUUUAAAAACAAGGUAUUUAAUGCCCUUUUGGGUUUGGAGCGGCACUGGGUUCGGCUCCCUGUAGUGAGGAGGUUUCUUCAUGCUAGAGCUCCCAGUAUGUUCUGCAAGGAAAGAAUGGACAUGUGGCCUCAGCUUCUGGUGUCUAUUUUUAUGCCCUGGUUGUGUGUAGGGGAAAAUGGAAAUAUAUUUUCAGUAUGUGUGUUUUUCCCCUGGUGUCUGCUGACUCCCACGGAAGCUGUAAAUCCCCAAAUCCAAACAUAAGAAGUCCAUGUCAGGAGGCAAUGACCCACCACUUUGGACUCCAUUCAACAUCUACCCAAAGAAUAUCCUUGGCAAAGAGCAGUGACAGCAUAAUAGUGGUAAAAAUAGCAAUCAUGCUCUCAGUUGUCAACUAAAUAUAACUCCUAAUGGCUAAAGUUCUAUAAACUAAUCAAUUUUUUUGUUCUAACAAAAUAGUUUGAAAAUCAAUGUUACCUUGGACACACAAAUUCAGUAUGA
ensembl:lncRNA